rnacentral:rRNA from 1 species
UCUAACCGCCAUGCUACCCUGAACAAGCCUAAUCCUGUCUGAUCUGCGAAGCGAGCCUGGUUAGUACUUGGAUGGGAGACCACCUAGGAAGACCAGGUGCUGUAGGUG